rnacentral:lncRNA from 1 species
AGAAAAUUGAAAUAUUGAUAAAUUUAAAAACUAAAUUAAAUCAAUUAAUACUUAAAUUUAUUUAAUUUAUUUGUCAUAUAAUUUACUGCUUAAUUUUUUGAUAGAUCUAAUUAUUUUUUGAAAAAAUUAAUUAAAAAUAAUUUUUUAAAUACUUUUUAAAAUUAUCUUUUCAAAUAAUUUUUAAAAUUAUUUUAAAAAUUAUUGUUUUGUAUUUUAUAAAAGAGAGACUGUAAUGUGGUCGAAAGAAAGAAAGAAAAAAAGAUAUCUUUUCAUUUUAAAAAUUCUAAACUGUAAAAAUUUCUAUUCUGCAUCAGGUGUAGUUGUACUUUACAUACAAAAAAGGUUACAAGUAUGUUAAUUGAUAAAUAUUAUAAGCUAUAUAUAGCAAAUAUUCAUAAUUAUUUGAUUAAAUCUUUCAAAACAACAUUAUAAGAGUUUUUUGGAACCAAAAAAUUGAAACAAGACUAUACCAAAGCGUGCCAGUAAGAGGUCAUGUGUAUUCAUUGGCACGCAAUCGUACCAUGUGUCGGCACAGAAGCGUACUAGUACCGUACCAUGCCAGGCAGACAGCGGCACGCUCCCGUGCCACGACACUUUAAACCUUGGUUUAGUGUAAACGUAUAAGUGCUCUUGUUUGGGACUGGUAGCAUGAGAAGAAGCUACAGGAGGAAUUCCUGAAUUUAUGGCAUAAUAGGGAAUUUUUUUUCUUAUCCAUAUUUUCAUUUUGAGGUAUUUCGCAAAAGUGGUUGCGUAUUUUUGUACGUUGUACGUUGUCUCUGAUCUGUGUUUGUGCUUUUCUGUUUGGUCAUCAAUAUUGAAUAGUGUUCUUACUUCAAUAGUUCAAGAUCCAUAGCUUUGCCUAGUUUUAUGUCACCUAUAUUGUAUGCAAGGAAUCAAGUGCCGCCCGUGCCGUACGGCACGAGGGCAUGCCGUACGGCGUGCCGUACGUGCCCCCAAGAAGCGGGCACGGUACGGGGGGGUCUUGGACCCCGGCCUCUGUCUCGCGGCAGCACAUGCGUGCCGCUCGAGACAAAGCGGCAUGCAGGUGCGCGCUCACUGCAUGUACCGUGCGUAUCGCCUUUUUUUUUUUUUUUCCUUUUUAGCUUUUUUUUGGCUUUUUUUUGGCUUUUUCUUUUUUUCUUUUGUUCUCUGGGGUAUCGAGCCUCCCCUCCCCCCAGGCCACCUAUAUUGCCUUUUUUUUUCACUUUGUUGUCUUUUUUUCAACUUUUUUUUUUGCUUUUUGGCGGAUGCCUUUUUCUUUACUUUUUUUUUAUCAAUAUAGGAGCAAAUUUUUAAUUGAUACCACUAUUAGAAAAUUACGUAUGGUAAAAACGCAGCUUAAAUAGAAAUCAAAAUUUGUCGCGCCGCGAAGCUUUCGGUGAAUCAAGGGAACAAAAAUUGAUCUCCUAAACAAAUUUUGAUCAGAUAUUUUUAUAAAGAAUAUGGAUGUAAUAUCGGAAAUAUAUGACUUUCUCACAAUACCAGCAACACUUAUAUCAACAUUGUCAAAUAAAUCUUGUAUCUGCAGAUGACAAUAUACCAUAUGAUCAAGCGCGACGAUCUAUGUGAAAUUAAGUAGUCAUCUCUAUAUAAAGAUGUAAAUUUAAAUAAUUAUUGUACUUGUUAAUUUUAUUACUGUAUUUUAAUUUUUAUUCUAUAUCAGGUGUAGUUGUACUUUACUUACAAAAAGCUUACAUGCAUGUUAAUUGAUGAGUAUAGUAAGGUAUACAUAGUAAAUAUUCAUAAUUGUUUAUUUAAAGCUUUCAAAAUAACAUUAUAAGAGUUUAUUGGAACCAAAAAAAACUGAAAUAAGUCUGUGCCAAAGCGUGCCAGUAGGAGGUCAUGCGUAUCUAUCGGCACACAAGCGUGCCACGUGUCGGCACGCAAGUGUGCCUGUGCUGUACCGUGCCGAGGACAUAAUGGCACGUUCCCGUGCCACGGCACUUUAAACCUUGAUUGUAUGGCAUAAGACCAUUUCUUUUUUUGCUUAUCUGAGUGCAAAUGCAUAAAGAAAUGUUGACAACAGUUUUAGUGCUUGUAAGUAUAUCCGUACAUGAGUUAUAUGAAUUUAGUAGGUUUGCUGAUUUUCUACUGAUUACGCAUUAUUGGAUUUGUCAGGUCAAAGUAUCGUUAAUAUUUUUCUUCUCUAAUUACUCACAAAAUUGAAUUUAUCCCUGUAACUGCAGUGGUCCCUCAUGACGCUUCUAGACCCAACAAGUAGUCUAGCUAACCUGAUUUAUCUUGGAUACACUGGUGAUCCUGCUGCAGCAUUUCAUAUCACCAGAAAAAGGCGGCAAGAUCGCAAAAGGAAACAGUCGCAAAGAAAUGUUUACCAAUGCUAUGUCUUUGGCCCUAAAAAUGCUGGAAAGUCUGCUUUGUUGAGUUCAUUUAUCGGAAGGUGCAUUAGAUCUUUAUUUAUUUUUUAAUUGAAUAUUUUUGCUAUUAGUUUAUUCUGCUGUAUCUAUAUAUGGUAAUCUCCUAUGUUUCUUGCAAUCUUGUUACUGCACUAUGUUCAGGGCAUUUGUUGAUCAGUAUAACCCAACAACCACCGAGCAAUUCGCAGCAAAUGUUGUUGAGGUUCCAGGGGUAUGAGCAACUAAUAUAUUACAUUCUUGUUUUCUUAUAUUACAAAUGUGAAUUACAAUUGCAUAAGGAGAAUAUUGUAGAUUUGCCAUUUACAUCUAUUUUACAUCUAUUUUCAUUCAAAGAGCAAAAGUAUUUGUUUCAUUUUAAUUGAAUCUCCUACAUUGGUUUUUGUUUGUUUGUAUCUUUUGCCCAGUUUGGUUCAUCUUUGUUUGCUCUUAUCUUUUGCGCAGUUUAUUUCAUCUUUGGAUCAAAAUAAGAGCAACAAAAUCUGAAGGGAAAGAACUAAAAGAAUUUCCUAGUGAGAUCUCUUAAUGAGAUUUGGGAUCUUCAUUUUUAACAAAUGAAUAUAAUUUUGGUAAAUCUUUAGAAGGUGAUACUCCACAUUUGGAGUUAUGGAAUUGAAUCGACUCAAGCCAAAAUGUUUAGGUUGGACACAUUGCAUAUCCAAAAGCUUCAAUUGCAUAGGCGAUUACUAGCCAUAGUUCUUGAAUAGGCCCUGUUCUCCAGCAGUAAUAACCAACAUAGAAGUAACAGUGAGUGAUCCCAACUAUGAUUGUCUAUGUGAGGGCCGAUAGGGCAGUAAUAGUGAGUGAUCCCAACUAUGAUUGUCUUAUGCCUUACCUUAUUAAGCAUUUGAUUUAAAUCAAGUAAUGAUCCAAAAUAACACGGAUAACUCUUUGACUAACCAUUUGUUAUGCAAUGCACAAUUCUUAGUCUAACUGUUUGUUAGGAAGUAGUGCAAUCAUCAUCUUAAUUGCAGUCUCUCUGGAAUAAGUUUAAAAACUGAUGAUUUAUUAUUCCUGGAUGAAUGCUCAGGAUGAUUGCAUUAAUAGAAAACAAUACUUACCCUUCCCAUUGUUUUGUCUUGUCUGUUUACUUUGGUGUUUGACAACUCAACUCAGCAAGUUCCAAUCUUUCAGUGGUUAUCAACAUACUCUGACUGCAUAAUUUUCUAAUGCUUUUUUAUGCUAAGAACAACUACAUUUUUCCUCUCCAUUAUCCUCCUUGACUUUCUUUUUUGAUGCAUCUUAUUGUAGUAUUUUGUAGCAGAAUUCAACAGUCGCUUGAAUGGCAAAUCAAUCUUUACGAUUCUGAGAUAGCUUAUGAAGUUUGUGGUACUAGGAGUGCAUUAAGAAAGCUCUCUUUCAUCACUAUGUGCACAUAAGAGUUACUGUAUCUCCUCUAUCUGAUAACAUGAUUUGGUUUCAAUUUUGAAGGGAAUAAAAAAGACACUUGUUUUGCGAGAGAUACCCGAAAACAACAUCGACGUAUUGUUGUCUAAGGACUCUUUAGCACCAUGUGAUAUAGCAGUAUUUGUUUAUGACAGGUAUUAAUUCCGACUAAUUCCUUCCAUUUAAGUUGUAAUUUCCUUGGAUAUUAAAAUACAUCUUGCUUUAAAUAUAAGGUGUGUUCCCUUGCAAAAUUGUUCAGCUGUUGUAGUAUGCAUUAUUUACAAUGCGCAUGAAAUUUUGUAUGUAGUAUGCAUGCAUAUGUAAUGAUAUCUAUGUAUUUUUGCAAAUGUAUGGGGCGAAGCCCAAAGGAAAAUAAGGAACUCAAUUGGUAUAGUAAAUUGAUCAUUUUCGCCAAAAUAGUAUUUCUAAAGUAAAAAUAUUUUACUAUUGAAACAUUUCAAUAUAAAUAAACAAACUUAAUUUUUCAAUGUAAUUUUAUGAGAUAUACUUUCACAUGCAACCACCAUUUCCCAUCACGGCUGUUAAUUUAGUAGGUUGGGAUACUUCAUAUGGAUAAGGGAAGUUUUUCGUCAAAAGAAUAUCCAAACAAACAACUACCCAACAUGCAUAUAUAUGCUUAAAAGGAUUUUUUUAAUCAAACUAGGGUGGGCAUGUGUCCACCUGGGCCCACCCCCUAGCUCCGUCCAUGCACUGGAGCUUGACUUUUCUCCUGGGUCGCAUGUGCAUCCCUGUGUAUGUUGUUCUUAUACUGUGAGAAUAUACAAGUAAAUGCAUUGCUUAAUUUUUUUCUUUUUCUUUUUUUAAAAGCCUCUUGUAUUUUCUUGAUUUUGAAAUGUUCCACAAGUUACUGUAAUAGGCCUGUUUACAGUACAGUAGAUUAAUAAUGGUCUUACAAUAAUUUCUAAUUUGGGAACAUGUGGCACCUGUUUCUAAUCUGUAAAUUCUUGAUGAGCUGUGGUUCACUAUCUUUCGGGCCUGACUUCUUAGCUAAAGUUCUUUAGGGCGAUGUAGUGUACAAUGAGUAAAAUAUUAAUUGAAUUUCUUUGUUAAGUGUAUGACAUAGACUUAACUAUUUAAAAUUUGCUUUAUGAAGUUUUUUUUUUUACUUGUUAAAUGGCAACUGCUGCUAAAAAAUUCUUGAGAUGUUCUUCACUAUUUUAUAGUCCUGAUAUGCCAGCUAUGGUUUUCGUGUACAAUGAGCAGAAUAUAGAACUAAGUUUCUAUAUUAAGUGCUUAGUGAAUAGUCAAAUAUUUUGUCUACAGCAAGAUGCUUAAGCUAAUUUUAUGCCAUUGAAAAGUAAAUGCAGGUGAAAAAGAAUAGGAAGAAAUCUUUUGAACCGAGAAUUUAUUGCUGUGUUUCAUCUCGUUUUGAACCAUAACAUGUUUUCUGGAGGUUUCUGCAAUCCCUCUAUGCAACAACAAAAUUGACGAUGGCUCAACAACAAAUGCUUUUCUUGUCUUAAUUAAUUCAUGUCAACUACAUAUAUAUCCUCAUAUGUUUCUAAGAAAACAGGAUACUUGUGCCUGCUGUGUAUGUUUCACUUUUGGUGGAUAAGAUAAUUAUCUAAAGUUCUUUAAAAUGCCCAGUUUAUUUGCAAAUAAAAGAAAUUUGUGUACAUCCAAUAAUCAUAAGAUAUUUAUUUGGGUCAAUUAUUUUCAAUCAUAAUGAUGAGCCAUAUGAAUAUGGAGUAAAUUGAUGGGUGACAUUCUUUUUUUUUUUUUUUUUUUUUUUUUUUUUUUUUUUUGUUUUGGUGUGGUGAUGAUUUUUUGAGCUCAAAGAGUUUACUAAUUCAAAAGCUCAUUACUUUGGAACUUAAUCUGCCGGUGAUAACCAUUGUUAUUCAUGUCCUACCGUCAUUUGUGUGAUGCAGUUAUUAAUAUGGUUUAUAUUAGACAUCUGACUAUACAUGGUUUCAUUCUAGGAUGACCAAACUGUGACACUCUUUAGUUCUUUACUAUAUCAAAUUGUGAGACUCUUAGCCUUACUUACAUAUGCACUGGGCAAGAGAUUUCUAAAAGUUCUCCUGAAAUGUAUGAAACAGAUCAGAUUAAAGAACAAUUAUGAACUGAAGCUUUUUAUUUUGACCAUGAGUUCAAGAAGGUAACUGUAUUAUACUUUUCUAAAUGCAGUUUUAUGUUAUGCUUUUCGGAACACUUGGCUUUUAUAUGCUCAGUAAUUUUCUUGCUACUAGUGUGUUAUUUUUGCUUUUCUACAUGUUAAAUUGGCCAGUAUUUUUAAUGUAGAGUAAACAAACAUUAAGCUGUUACUUGUUCCGAAUAUAAUUUUCAUAUCAGCAUACCCAUACAGAUGAAAAUAACUCGGUGCAUGUUGCAACUAACAGUAGAGUUUACAUUUUUGCUAUUAUUAUGGUUAAUGGUAUCAUUGUAGUUGUUAGAUCAAUAUAACUAUCUUAAUAUUGAUUCCGAAAUAGUACUUUCUGAUUUUUCAUGAAUAUGUGGGGGUUAACAUUCUAGUGCAAUGUCUGUCUAUUUUUGCAGCUCCGAUGAGAAUUCAUGGAAAAGGGCAAAAGAGUUGCUUGUGCGGGUGGCAACACAUGGAGAAAACAGUGGCUUUGAAAUUCCGUGCCUUAUCAUAUCUGCUAAGGAUGAUCUUGAACCAUAUCCCUCUGCUAUACAGGAUUCCACUAGAGUAUGUUAUCGUUGGUUUGUUUACAACUGCAUUUUGCCCAGGACAACCUCCGGAGCUUAAAAAAAAUUUCAUUACAUCCUGAUAUGUUAUUAACAGCAACUAUACUAAUUUGAAAAUUUAAUCCAAUUGACAUUUAUUUGGCUGAUAUGUACCCUGUAAGGUGCUUAUCCUAAACUUCAGAUUUUUAAGCUGCUUAUUGAUAGAUGGAUGUGGUCAUGUUGAUUGUUCUUUUGCUAGCUUUUUUUAUUGUCUAUAUAUAUUGCCUUGUGCCAUGUUAGCGAAGCUCUUAUGAUCAGAUGUUGGCUUUUCCAAAAUGAUUUGUAUGGCAUGUUUCCCUGAUUGUUCUAGUUUAUUAAUUAAUAGAUGUUAAUGUAUUUUGUGCUUCAGGUAAGCCAGGAUAUGGGAAUAGAGACACCUAUACCUCUCAGCAUGAAGCUGAGAGAUUUCAACUAUGUGUUUCGUAGAAUAGUUAGUGCUGCUCAACAGCCCCAUUUGAGCAUUCCAGAAACUGAAGCUGGAAAAAACCGCAAGCAAUAUCGACGCCUUGUAAACCAUUCCCUCAUGUUUAUUUCAGGUAUUCUCUUCCCCCACUAGUGAUUUUUUUUUUUUUUUCCCCUUUAUGAGCUCUUUCAUAUAUGUCCCUGCAAAAUCUUUUGUUUACGUAUGUUCCCCUGCUCUUAACUUGGAGAUGCGUUUAGUUCAUGUUGGAAGUUGGUUUGUAUAAAAAAAAGUUCUCUAAAGAGGGGCAUUUCUAUCAUGGUAACACAAGAUGACUUUCAUUGUAACAGUGGGAGCAGCUGCUGCAGUUGUUGGAGUUGCUGCUUACCGGGUUUAUUCGGCAAGAAAGAACACCUCGACUUGAAGAUCUUUGGAGGUCACAGUGGGAGCAGCUGCUGCAGUUGCCAUUGUGAAGGAAGAGUUGUCCUGAACAGCUUUGUACAAAAUAAAUAUGAUUAUUCUGCUGUCCUGUAAACUCCCAUUCUGUAUUAUUUUUUAUCUUUUUGGUUUCCUCUCCUUGUACAUGUUUGCACCCAUCUUCCGUUGAGGUGUAGCAAAGCAUGAUUGCAAUUUUGCAUAUAGGUUUGGAAUUUUCUGAUUAUUUUAAAUUUCCGAACAUGUUUGAACCAAGAUGUGAUGGGAUUAUGUUUGGUUGGUAGGAAGGUAGACGCCGGUGUCCUUACAUAGCUACAGUUGUUGUUUUAUUCUAACUUGUUGCAGUUUGUUCUUCAGAAUGAUUCAAUUUGUUUUCUCACUAUUUGCAUAGUUCGCAAAUGAGUUUUUUGCAGCAGAUCACAAUCUUGUGGAUGAUAUAAGUGUGCUCAGAGUGUUUGUAUUAAUGCUUAUGUUCGAAGAAAUGCAUCCUGUUCCCGCGAUUUGUGUAGUUCACUACUGAGCUUUUGCAGCUGAUCACAAUCUUGUGAAUGAUCAAAGUGUUCUUGGAGAGUGUUUAAUUAUGUUGAAGCUUAUGUUUGACGAAAUACAGAAGAUGUUGGUAGUAGUUGCUGGUGGUAGAGUGCUGCUAGUUCAGUUUUAUCGUACAGCCGAGGUCAAAACCUUCUGGUCUGAAUGUCGUUAUUAUAGAAAUGUUGUUGUUACUAUAGAAAGCCACGCAUGUGUUGUCUCUGUAGUAAAAGUAUUAGUAUGCAUUUGUAUGUGAAAUUAUUGCCUACAUCUGGUGCAUCCGUAAAUCUUAUGCACCACACCCCUAGAUUCUAUUAUAUUAUAGUCUCGGAAUUCAAGAUUAAUGUAUUAGUUAUGAUCUAUUAUAUUAAAAAUACUUUUUGUAUAUCACUAAUUGUUUAGACCGCGCGUUUGGUACUAUUAGAUUUUAUGCUUUCAACUAUCUAAUUAAAACUUUAUUAGACCGGGCAUAUGUAAUUACAUCUGUCUAAUUAAAUUCUAAUUUUAAAGCGCAAACUAGUAAAUAUUCUUUCCAAUAUUAAUACAAAAGGUGCAAGCAGAAACUGCCUAUGUUCAUGCGAAGAUUGGAACAACUUAAUACUUUAUUAUGGGCCCCACCCCAUCUUGGAAACAUCAUGGCCAGCAAAAUGCUGCACCUGGUGAUGGCAUUAGUGCGAGGAUCCUCCCAGCCGCAUUCAUCCAAUCACAUAUUAAUUUGACCUCGACUCUGGCUCACUGAUUGGUAGCUAUUUAUUUGUUUCUACGAAUUAAAGUGAAAUGUUUGGAUUAUAAAAUGUAUACAGAAUGGGACAGUGCGGUGCAUAUCUGAUUAUAAAUAGUGCACCAGUUCCAGGUAAAUUAAGAUGUGUCGGCAUUGCACGGCACAUGCAAAACACAAACAGCAAGUAAUGCAGAGCAACUAAACUGUUGGAGAACGUACUCCGAUCUACAAAUUAAUCAAUUUUCUCUUCUAUCAUUGUCAGCUCAACAAGUUAAUAAUUAAUUCUAACAUAUAUACAGUUCACAGUCAAUAUGUUCUAUUUACAUAAGCUUAUUCCAUGCCACAAAAGCUUUCAAUUUCCCAAGAAAUUAAUCACAAAUUAAUGAUUCAUAUAUAUAUAUAUAUAUAUAUGUGUGUGUGUGUAAUAUCUGAUACAUCCGCAAGACAAACAAUCAAAAUUAAGGAUGCAUGAUCAAAAUUGGUGCGUGUGUGUGUGUAUAUAUAUAUAGUUACAACCAUAGUUAGAUAACUAAAUAAGCUAUGGAUCAGAUAUCCAAAAAGUCGAGGCCAUCGCUAAUCAAGUAGUCGUCGACGCCGAUAUCGAUGGUAGGCAUCUCGGCAAACAGGGAGCCAUCGUGGACCAUGUAGAGGGACUCGUCUAGGUAGCGCGCAUGGUCGGACGACACCGGGGGCUGCUCCGUAGGAACAGAUUGAAGGAACGCCCCAAGAUCCUUCUCCGCUUCACCCUCCGCUCCGACAGCUGCAGAUUGAUCAUCAGGAGUAGUACUACCUUCUACCUGCGCUGCUGCACUAGCAAUUGGUUCAGUGUGUUGCUGCUGCUGCUGUUGCUGUCGGUCGGAGUGCUGGAAGAGCACGCUGCCGUCAUACGUGUGAUGAUCGGAUACGUCCGUAGUAGUGCACUGGGGAAUCUGCGAGGUAGUCCGCAUCUGACCGCCACCGACGUAGGUUGCGACCGCUUCGUAAAGCUCCGGAUAAACCACUGCACCGUGUGGAACGUCAGGCCGAUCUCGAUCGAGAGGGCAAAAGGGUGUACGGUCGCGUGCGGCCAUCAUGCUGUCGUGCCAUGGCACGUCUAGCUGCAUAGAAAUUAGUGGCUGCACCAUCAGCUCGCGCUGAGGAGGCCACAACGGCGUUCCAACAGACCAAGAAGUGGGCGACAGUUGCGGCUGCGACACAUCAGGUACUGAAGAAGCGGGCAGCAGGGGCGGCAGCGCAGGCCAAGGUGGUGGCGACAGCUGGGGUUGAAGCCGAGGACGGCGCUGCUGGGGCAGUUCGGGCUGGGAAGGGCAGAGCUGCAGCGACACCCGCGGCGGAAGGGUAGCCGGCGCCACAGAUUGUUUCGCCUCGGCGCGUCUUGCAGCGGGCGUCUUGUAGAUCUUGCAGAUCACCUGCUCCUUGUCAUCGCAGCCUGCGGCCUCGGCUCCACCGGAGGACGGGAGGAGGCCGUACUCUUCCAUGAGCCAAUCGGUCUUUUGCUUCUUGCUGUCGCGGAACUCAAAAUUCUGAUGGUAUCCGAUCGUGACGACACAGCCCGAGACGUCGAUUUGAAUCACUCUCUUGGCGGCCUGCGUGGACCUCCACUGCCCGAUCCCUGCGCCUCCGGCAUCACGCACCGACCUCUCCUUCCUCCCCCUCUUGAAUCCAUCCCCGCGCCGUGCUUCUUGGUGAUCAUCUCGGCCUCCGCAGCGGGCUCUCUUGCCCUUGACUUUGCACCAGCUGAAGAAGAACCACUCGUGGGGUCCUUGAUUCGUGGGCGGGAAGAGAGCGGUGAGCUGCGCCGGGUGGUGGCCGUAUACGUCGGCUUCUCUGAUGCAGUCGGCGGCAGCAGGAUCCGGCGGCUCCCCACGCACCCUCUUUCUCAGUACGAUUCCCACCAGAACCUCCUCCUUGGGCGCGUACUUGCACCCGGCGGGCAUCGCCAUGGUCGAGUUAAUUCUUCUUCUCUAGCUCGGGAUCAGCCUUGAAGAAGAAGAAGAAGAAGAUCAAAUUGCCGUCCAAAACAACUAAUUCAUUAUCAACAGAGAUUGCAAUGUAGCUCACUCACUCUGCAUUUAUACAAUCGAAGAUCUCAUCUAAAGUAAGUAAGGCUCAUGUUAGUUAAUUAAAGAAUUUAAUCAAGAACCUAAUUAAGAGAGAUCGAUGUAGCGUGUAGAACGAAUCGAAACAGGGAUCAGCCUUGAUGAAUUGAUACAAGCCCACAUCGGAAUUGAUCGAGAAUUAAAUUAUAUAAAAUACGCAUGCAUGAAUCAGAAAACUAAUUAAACCUGCUGAGGCAUGCAAAAACUUAAAGAAACUUACUGUAGAAUGUAGAAUGUAGACUAGAGCUAGCUCCGCGAGAGAGAGAGAGAGAGAGAGAGAGAGAGAGAGAGAGAGAGAGAGAGAGAGAGAGGUGCGCGAUGGCCUUCCGCGGAGGGGCUUCCUUUAAUUAGUCAUCAAAUUCUCUCUCUUGAUCAAGAACCAGAUGAAAUAAAAAUAGCGCCAAGGAAGAAGCAAAACCACACCGUGGGAGAGAGAGAGUGAGAGAGAGAGUGAGAGAGAGAGAGGGAGGGAAUUAACGACGCAACGCAACGCCACGCCCUGUCCUUCAAUAUAUAAUAAUAAUUUUAUUUAAUUAUUCUUUAACCUUUUUUUGAAUUAUUAUAUUUAGUUAAAUUUGAAAUUUAGUUAAAUUUAAUAGUUCUACAAGCUAUUAAUUAUUCUUUUAGCUGGUUUAGUUUUAUUUGCUUAUAAAAUUUGAUUAAAUUUAUUAAGUUUGAUGAAUGUACGAAUAAAUUUGAUAAAAAUUUUAUAGCCAACUGACUAAAAUUUAAAAAUAUUAGAAUUUUUAAAAAUUUUUUACGGUCUAUAUUAGAAAAAUUGAAGUUGAGAGGACCAAGGUCUCCCUAUAUUUUUUUCAACUAACUAAUUUAUAUUAAUGAUAAUUACUAUUUCUUGAUAUCAGAUAUUUAAAAUACCUACCUGAUGUCAUGUGGAAUUAAAAAAGGGCAAUUACUUAUAUGACCCUGAAAAGUUUUCGACUUUCUGAUUUACCCUCUCUUAGAAGACUAAUAUUGAAAAUACCAUUUUUAUGUUCCAACCUGUUUCAAAUAUAUCUCUAGAGUUAAACUCCUUUAAUAAAUUGUUAAUAAUAAUUGUUAUCUGUAUAAAAUUAUUAUUUUUUCCUUGCAAAUAUAUAUACUUUUGUACGACUUUCUUAUUUACCGAUAUACCCUUCUACCAUCACCAGUAUUUCUUAUUUGCCCUUAAAUUAAGAGCAAAAUAGGCAUUUUGAUUUUUUUUUCAACUCUAGUAGAUAUUUAAUUCAUGUUUAAUUCAAGUUAACUUAAUGGAUGGUAACUGUAAGGGUAUUUUAGAAUAACGGAGAAACACAUAUGGGGUAUAUUAGAAAGAAAAAAAAAAAUAGAAUAAAUAAAAUAUUUCAACCAUUUGUUGUUGUCGGCUAGAAGUACCUUCCAAUCCAGAUGACCGAGAAUAAUUCUAUUGCAUAUAGUACUUUCUAAAAGCAGUCCCCAAAAUAAACUAUCCUAGAUAUAGACCAUCACAUAUACAGGAAUUAACUAUAAAAGCAAAAAUACUAGAGCAAGAGAAAUGUAGCUUUUUAGGUUGUUAUUCUUCAAUCUCCUCAACAAAACUAAAUACUCUCAACAGUUGACAUCUGCACUAAAUUUGCGACAAAUUUGCAAAAUAGUUGCCAUAGCACAAAUUAACCACCUGUUACACACACCCUUCAAGUAUGAUAGCGGCACAAAUGAUUGGUGCAAGCAGGCCACUAACCAUUCACAGCAUCAACUACUUUUUUAUUUUCUGAAUAAUAAAGAAACAAACGAAGUUUCUAUCGUAUUUGGUUUUGUCAAACAAACAAUAAAUAUAAUGCUUACAAACAAUCCGGCACUACCACCAAAAUAGGCUCUAAAAAAAAAAAGGUCCACACUAAUGCCCUACAACCUCAAAAAACUUUGAGAUAAAUAAUGCCAAACACAAUCAAUUUUCCAUUCACAACUCGUAGAUAUAGCGAAGGUCCUUUUUUCCACUUUGGUCCGAUACUAAAAUCUUUGUUGAGUUUAUACCACUUUACUAAAACAGAGUAACUGUUAACAAAUAAGAGCGUAUUUAAUAUAACUUGGUUAUACAGAUUGGUUACAUCCCCAGUCCCAAGUCAAAGCAUCCCUUGUUAAGAACAUUGGAUAAAGAAAACUUCUAUUGGUGCUGCUCAUAGCUUUCCUCAUUUCUUAAUAAAUAAGCACUUGGAUGCAUGCACUUGUUGUCACGCCCCGAGACCGCUACCAAUUUGGUCCGAUUCGAGCGCGUCGAACAGACGCCGGACGGACAGAACCUUCCCUGUCCGCCCAAAGCUCAAGCAACGAGAUCCUGUGCAACAAGUCCCCAGGAAAUAACUUGAACAC